GCAUAUCAAUAAGCGGGGGGGA
rnacentral:rRNA from 1 species